rnacentral:rRNA from 1 species
AUUGAACGCUGGCGGCAUGCCUUACACAUGCAAGUCGAACGGCAGCACGGACUUCGGUCUGGUGGCGAGUGGCGAACGGGUGAGUAAAGUAUCGGAACGUACCUUUCAGUGGGGGAUAACGUAGCGAAAGUUACGCUAAUACCGCAUAUUCUGUGAGCAGGAAAGCAGGGGAUCGCAAGACCUUGCGCUGAUUGAGCGGCCGAUAUCAGAUUAGCUAGUUGGUGAGGUAAAGGCUCACCAAGGCGACGAUCUGUAGCGGGUCUGAGAGGAUGAUCCGCCACACUGGAACUGAGACACGGUCCAGACUCCUACGGGAGGCAGCAGUGGGGAAUUUUGGACAAUGGGGGCAUCCCUGAUCCAGCCAUGCCGCGUGAGUGAAGAAGGCCUUCGGGUUGUAAAGCUCUUUCGGCCGGGAAGAAAUCGUAUCAGCUAAUACCUGGUGCGGAUGACGGUACCGCCAUAAGAAGCACCGGCUAACUACGUGCCAGCCGCCGCCGUAACAC